UUAUUUAAAAAAAUUUAAUCUGAAAACAUUUUGCAACAUCUGCAUAAAAUUUUCUCCAGUGUCUGGGUAGAUGUUUUUUUAGAGUGCAUUUUCAGUAACUGUCCGGGCGAUUAAAAACAUCAAUUUGCGUGUUAAUUUUGCAGAUGCAGAUAUAGACGUUACAUAGUGGCGCGUUUUUUUCCAGAAAUAAAUUCCACCAGGACAUCCAGUUUCGGAACGGUCGAUAGCGGAUGCCGCCGGUUGCUGGAUUCGUAAGAUUGUUGGAUUAACGUUUGGUGCUUUCAGAUGCAUCUGAACAACUAUAGGCCAUUGGAUUAAAGAGGCGGUGAUGGGCGAGUGGACGAUCGUAUACCCGAAAUGUAUGGUUUAUAUACAAGACCCAAAUGAACGGAACUAGAGAUGAUUGCCGAACUAGAGAUCAUUGCCGAAGAAGGAAUCGUAGUCGCAUAUCAGUUUAGCACAAGAUUUUUUUUUCUAGAAGGAUCUCGAAUAAAACCGCUUACAAAAGAGUGUAUUUUGUCCAUUGUUUUUCUUUUGCUUCCAACAUGUAUAUGAGAUAAAAAGGAAUAAUCAAUCAUAAAAAACAAUAAAUCAAUUAUACCGCAUACGUUCUCCAUUUCCAUACAAUUUUUAUAGUU